UACAGAGGUCCCGAGCGUUGUUCGGAUUCACUGGGCGUAAAGGGUGCGUAGGUGGUUGGGUAAGUCUGAUGUGAAAUCUCCGGGCUCAACCCGGAAAUGGCAUUGGAUACUAUUCGGCUAGAGGUUUGGAGGGGGGACUGGAAUUCUCGGCGUAGCAGUGAAAUGCGUAGAUAUCGAGAGGAACACCAGUGGCGAAGGCGAGUCCCUGGACAACACCUGACACUGAGGCACGAAAGCUAGGGGAGCAAACAGG
rnacentral:rRNA from 1 species